UACGGAGGGUGCGAGCGUUGUCCGGAAUCACUGGGCGUAAAGGGCGCGUAGGCGGCCUGGUAAGUAGGGGGUGAAAUCCUGCGGCUUAACCGCAGGGCUGCCUUCUAAACUGUCAGGCUCGAGCACGGUAGAGGCAGAUGGAAUUCCCGGUGUAGCGGUGGAAUGCGCAGAUAUCAGGAGGAACACCGGUGGCGAAGGCGGGUCUCUGGGCCGAUACUGACGCUGAGGAGCGAAAGCGUGGGGAGCGAACAGG
rnacentral:rRNA from 1 species